rnacentral:rRNA from 1 species
CCUACGGGAGGCAGCAGUGAGGAAUAUUGGUCAAUGGACGAGAGUCUGAACCAGCCAAGUAGCGUGAAGGAUGACUGCCCUAUGGGUUGUAAACUUCUUUUAUAUGGGAAUAAAAUGUUCCACGUGUGGCUUUUUGUAUGUACCAUAUGAAUAAGCAUCGGCUAACUCCGUGCCAGCAGCCGCGGUAAUACGGAGGAUCCGAGCGUUAUCCGGAUUUAUUGGGUUUAAAGGGAGCGUAGGUGGAUUGUUAAGUCAGUUGUGAAAGGUUGCGGCUCAACCGUAAAAUAGCAGUUGAAACUGGCAGUCUUGAGUAGAGGAGAGGUGUGCGGAAUGCGUGGUGUAGCGGUGAAAUGCUUAGAUAUCGCGAAGAACUCCGAUUGCGAAGGCAGCUCACUGGACUGCAACUGACACUGAGGCUCGAAAGUGUGGGUAUCAAACAGGAUUAGAUACCCGGGUAGUC